AAUGUUUAACGGGGCACUUCAAUCACAAACCACAAGGCGGUUAUGCGGUUAUUUCCAAACUUUAGAGAGAAAAAAAUGAGCAGCCGUGCUAGCCGAACUCUUUAUGUUGGCAAUCUUCCUGGUGAUAUUCGUGAGAGAGAAGUAGAGGAUCUAUUUUACAAGUACGGGCGCAUUGUUGAUAUUGAUCUGAAAAUCCCUCCAAGACCUCCUGGUUAUGCCUUUGUGGAGUUUGAAGAUUAUCGCGAUGCUGAAGAUGCCAUUCGCGGCCGUGAUGGCUAUAAUUUUGAUGGAAAUCGAUUAAGAGUUGAACUUGCACAUGGCGGGCGAGGAUCGUCAUCAGUUGAUCGCUACAGUAGCUAUAGUGGUGGUAGUAGUCGUGGUGGAGUUUCUAGGCGUUCUGACUAUCGUGUUUUGGUCACUGGAUUACCUUCUUCUGCUUCAUGGCAAGACCUGAAGGAUCACAUGCGUCGAGCUGGGGAUGUCUGCUUCUCUCAAGUUUUUCGUGAUCGUGAUGGCAUGAGAGGGAUUGUAGAUUAUACAAACUCUGAUGACAUGAAAUAUGCGAUCAGGAAACUUGAUGAUUCUCUGUUCCGUAACCAAUUUUCUCGGGCUUAUAUACGGGUGAUGGAGUAUGGUUCAAGGAGUCCCAGCCGUAGUCCAUAUUAUUCAAGAAGCAGAAGUCCCAGUCGUAGCUAUAGCUAUAGCAGCAGGAGCAGAAGUAAGUCUCCAAGGGCCAAAUAUUCUCAUCGGUCUCCAUAUAGAUCUCGUUCGAGGUCUGUUUCAUCACGGCCUCAUUCUGAGUCAUCUCUUCGCUCUGCAUCAAGAUCCAGCAUUUUGCGGCGAUCUGGAAUUGCAUGUUAGGGACUUGAUGGGGAAUGGUGCUCAAAUUCCUGCAAGUCAUUUGGUUGUGGAGACCCGAGUAGUAAAGAUGGUUUUGUUUUAAAGCUGGAUUUCUAUGAAGUGCAUGCUAGUGGUGUACCACCAACCACAAGUCAGCAACGUAGACAAAUUUGAAAUUCCUUCAACAACUACGCCUUGCACUCUGGCUCCCUAUGUGGCAUGCGAUGAUACAAAUGGGACCACUCUUCAUGCUUUUCGUUUAGUAUUAUAUGUUAUGGUGCAUCAAUUCUGGUCUAGCUUCUCUUGAUUUGGUUCAUUUAGUUUUGCUUGACUCGGUGGGUAAAAAUCAUUCUCCUAAUGAUGAGGCUGAAUAUGCAUUGGGUUCAAAGCUUUGCUGUUGAAUGCUGCUAAGGAUUUCUAGUAAUUUUGUUUGUUGCGUUUGAAUGUGGUAAACUACAACGUGGAAGUGGCACCGAUGCCUUUGGAUCACAAAGGUCUUAAAGGAACGUUGUGGAUAUUGAAUUGGAUUGUUUUUGAAACUUUUGCAGAUCUCGAUCAAGAUCCAGAUCCCCACUACCAUUG